GAUGAACGCUGGCGGCGUGCUUAACACAUGCAAGUCGAACGAAGCACUUUAUUUGAUUUCCUUCGGGACUGAUUAUUUUGUGACUGAGUGGCGGACGGGUGAGUAACGCGUGGGUAACCUGCCUUGUACAGGGGGAUAACAGUUGGAAACGGCUGCUAAUACCGCAUAAGCGCACGGCAUCGCAUGAUGCAGUGUGAAAAACUCCGGUGGUAUAAGAUGGACCCCGCGUUGGAUUAGCUAGUUGGUGAGGUAACGGCCCACCAAGGCGACGAUCCAUAGCCGACCUGAGAGGGUGACCGGCCACAUUGGGACUGAGACACGGCCCAAAACUCCUACGGGAGGCAGCAGUGGGGAAUAUUGCACAAUGGGCGAAAGCCUGAUGCAGCGACGCCGCGUGAGCGAAGAAGUAUUCGGUAUGUAAAGCUCUAUCAGCAGGGAAGAUAAUGACGGUACCUGACUAAGAAGCCCCGGCUAACUACGUGCCAGCAGCCG
rnacentral:rRNA from 1 species